rnacentral:rRNA from 1 species
UACGUAGGGUGCGAGCGUUAAUCGGAAUUACUGGGCGUAAAGCGUGCGCAGGCGGUUCGUUAAGUCAGCUGUGAAAGCCCCGGGCUCAACCUGGGAAUGGCGGUUGAAACUGGCGAACUAGAAUCUGGCAGAGGGGGGUGGAAUUCCGCGUGUAGCAGUGAAAUGCGUAGAGAUGUGGAGGAACACCGAUGGCGAAGGCAGCCCCCUGGGCUGAGAUUGACGCUCAGGCACGAAAGCGUGGGGAGCAAACAGG